GUGGGGAAUUUUGGACAAUGGGCGCAAGCCUGAUCCAGCAAUGCCGCGUGCAGGAAGAAGGCCUUCGGGUUGUAAACUGCUUUUGUACGGAACGAAACGGUCCUGGUGAAUACCUGGGGCUAAUGACGGUACCGUAAGAAUAAGCACCGGCUAACUACGUGCCAGCAGCCGCGGUAAUACGUAGGGUGCGAGCGUUAAUCGGAAUUACUGGGCGUAAAGCGUGCGCAGGCGGUGCUGUAAGACAGGCGUGAAAGCCCCGGGAUCAACCGGGGAGGUGCGUUUGUGACUGGAGUGCUGGAGUACAGCAGAGGGAGGUGGAAUUCCGAGUGUAGCAGUGAAAUGCGUAGAUAUGCGGAGGAACACCGAUGGCGAAGGCAGUCCCCUGGGCCUGUACUGACGCUCAUGCACGAAAGCGUGGGGAGCAAACAGGAUUAGAAACCCGGGUAGUCC
rnacentral:rRNA from 1 species